rnacentral:rRNA from 1 species
ACACGCAUGACACACUGCAUAUCAAUAAGCGGAGGAAAAGAAACUAACAAGGAUUCCCCUAGUAACGGCGAGUGAAGCGGGAAGAGCUCAAAUUUGAAAUCUUCAAGGGUUUCCCUUGACGAAUUGUAGUUUAAAGAAGUGUUUUCUGUUAGAGAGGUGGUAAAAGUUCUUUGGAAUAGGACAUCAUAGAGGGUGAGAAUCCCGUAUUUGAUCACUUUCUACUAACGUUGUGAUACACUUUCAAAGAGUCGGAUUGUUUGGGAAUGCAGUCCAAAAUGGGUGGUAAAUUUCAUCUAAAGCUAAAUAUUGGCGAGAGACCGAUAGCGAACAAGUACCGUGAGGGAAAGAUGAAAAGAACUUUGAAAAGAGAGUUAAGCAGUACGUGAAAUUGUCAAAAGGGAAGCGUUUGACACCAGUGUUGUUUUUCCGAAAAUCAAUUAUGAAAGGUUGGAUUUUAAAGUUUGUAUUGACCUUAACAGCUUGCUUCUACUCUUUUCCUGUCUUUUGUAAUGCACUUUUCGGUUAACAAGUCAACAUCAAUUUCUUUUGUUGUAAAAGGUUCAGUAGGAAGGUGGCUUUACUCUUCGGAGUAAAGUGUUUAUAGCCUUUUAUCUCUGCAAUCGGAGAGACUGAGGUCUGCAGCGUAGAUCCUUCGGGGUUAGAUACGUUUGUGCUAAGCUACAGCUUUUCAUAGACAACUUGUUGACUAUGUUUAAGUCUUGUGACUUACCUCGCAGUAUGCUAUUUUACCUACGCUUAGGAUGUUGACUGAUAUGUAGUCGUA